AUGACCAUCGCUGACUGACAGGACCAACCUCGACAAUGACAGGACCAGAUGAAAUUGCUAAUUACUUUUUAUUUCUAAAAAAUAUUUUUCUGAAAUUUGAGAUAUAGUCAGAUUUAACCAUUUUAUACAUAAAAAUAGGAAUAAUAUAGGAAAAAAAAUAUUAAAAGCUUGCUGUAAUGUGACCUGACCAACACUGACAAUGACA
rnacentral:lncRNA from 1 species